CACAAUUUCACGUUAGAAACCAGAGGAAAAGAGAGAAGAGAGAGCUUGAGAGACAAGAGGAGCGCCGCCGCCCAAGCCGCCACCACCACUCACGACGAGCGCGAGAGAGAGCUUGCGAGAGGGAGAGAGAUCGCGAGUGGAAGAGGGAGAGACCGAGGGCAAGGCAAGGAGGUUCGGACAGCAGGAGAACCAUCUUCUUUCUUUCUAUUUUCAAGCUCUAAAUCAAGAUGGUCGUGAAGAUAAUGGCGACGACUCAUUCUUGGGAGCUUAUACUCUGUGACGAGUCACUACCGGAUGACGACUACACUUCAGAUGAAGAGGAAGAAGAUAAAGAGGAAGGGGCUAAGGAUAUGGUUGGGUUGAGAGACAUCCAUUUUCUUUUGGGUUGAGAGUACCGAGUUUUGGAAGCAUUGAACCAUUACUUUAUUUUAGUUGGAUAUUUUAACUUGAUGUAAUUUACUUUGAAGUUUUCUUUCGGAUAUUUAUUUCAUACUCUUUUCAAUGAUUAAUAAAGUUUGAGGUUUACGUUGA